rnacentral:misc_RNA from 1 species
AAGUCGUAACAAGGUUUCCGUAGGUGAACCUGCGGAAGGAUCAUUAUGAAUCAGUAGCUUGCUACUGCGCCGGGGGAGAUGGGAAAGUCCUGGCUGAAAAGUCGGUGUACUGGUACCUGCACCCCUAUCAUAUCCUUGUCUUUUGAGUACUUAUGUUUCCUUGGUAGGCUUGCCUGCCAAUAGGACAAACUUUAAACCUUUUUAAAUAUCAAUCAGCGUCUGAAAAAUAAUUAAUAAUUACAACUUUCAACAACGGAUCUCUUGGUUCUG